UGAACAGUGAGCCAAAUUGAACAUCCCUUUAAAUUGAAAGUCGAGUCAGGUCGGGGUGAAGAGUUCAGGAUGAGCUUCUUUGGAAAGCUUCCGUGGACUCUACAGGAGAGUGCUUCAGUAACAAGGGCCUGUCAAUUGGAUGACUGAGACAGAAACAUCGUCUCUUAGAACUUAUACAGGAGAAAAAGGAGAGGAAGAGAUCGUGAAACCCCACGUGCAUUUGAGGGAAAUAAGAGGAGAUGGGAGCAACCUGUGAUUCCAAGCUAGAAGAUAGUAAAGCCAAGAUCUUCUCGUAUGCCAAGAAGACACAAAUGACAUUCUUAAUUAAUUA